rnacentral:rRNA from 1 species
AUUGAACGCUGGCGGCAGGCCUAACACAUGCAAGUCGAACGAGUGGCGGACGGGUGAGCAAUGUCUGGGAAACUGCCUGAUGGAGGGGUAUAACUACUUGAAACGGUAGCUAAUACCGCAUUCCAUCAGAUGUGCCCCGGUGGGAUUAGCUUGGUGGUGGGGUAACGGCUCACCAAGGCGACGAUCCCUAGCGGGUCUGAGAGGAUGACCAGCCAAACUGGAACUGAGACACGGGCCAGACUCCUACGGGAGGCAGCAGUGGGGAAUAUUGGACAAUGGGCGAAAGCCUGAGGGAGCCAUGCCGCGUGUAUGAAGAAGGCCUUCGGGUUGUAAAGUACUUUCGGUGGGGAGGCGUUACCUGAAGAAGAAGCACCGGCUAACUCCGUGCCAGCAGCCGCGGUAAUAC